GCCUAGCCCAGACAGAAGCGGUAUCCUUUUGCUGCUUUCUUUAAGCAGCAAAAGAUACAAGCGAAUGGCUGGAAAUAGC
rnacentral:sRNA from 1 species